rnacentral:rRNA from 1 species
GACGACGCUGGCGGCGUGCCUAACACAUGCAAGUCGAACGGAGAUAUGAUUUCGGUUGUAUCUUAGUGGCGAACGGGUGAGUAACGCGUGAGCAACCUGACUCUUAGAGGGGGAUAACACUCGGAAACGGGUGCUAAUACCGCAUAAGACCACGACAUGGCAUCAUGACGAGGUCAAAGGAGCAAUCCGCUGAGAGAGGGGCUCGCGUCCCAUUAGAUAGAUGGCGGGGUAACGGCCCACCAUGUCGACGAUGGGUAGCCGAGCUGAGAGGCUGAUCGGCCACACUGGAACUGAGACACGGUCCAGACUCCUACGGGAGGCAGCAGUGGGGAAUCUUGCGCAAUGGGCGAAAGCCUGACGCAGCCAUGCCGCGUGAAUGAUGAAGGUCUUAGGAUUGUAAAGCUCUUUCGGCCGGGAAAAAAUCGCAUCAGUUAAUACCUGGUGUGGAUGAUGGUACCGGAAUAAGAAGCACCGGCUAACUACGUG